rnacentral:rRNA from 1 species
GACGAACGCUGGCGGCGUGCUUAACACAUGCAAGUCGAACGGAAAGGCCCUGCUUUUGUGGGGUGCUCGAGUGGCGAACGGGUGAGUAACACGUGAGUAACCUGCCCUUGACUUUGGGAUAACUUCAGGAAACUGGGGCUAAUACCGGAUAGGAGCUCCUGCUGCAUGGUGGGGGUUGGAAAGUUUCUGCGGUUGGGGAUGGACUCGCGGCUUAUCAGCUUGUUGGUGGGGUAGUGGCUUACCAAGGCCUUGACGGGUAGCCGGCAUGAGAGGGUGGACGGCCACAUUGGGACUGCGAGACGGCCCAGACGCCUACGGUAGGCAGCAGUGGGGAAUCUUGCACAAUGGGCGGAAGUCUGUUGCAGCAACGUCGCGUGCGGGAUGACCGCCUUCGGGUUGUAAACCGCUUUCGCCUGUGACGGAGCGUGAGUGACGGUAAUGGGUAAAGAAGCACCGGCUAACUACGUG